AGCAGCCGCGGUAAUUCCAGCUCCAAUAGCGUAUAUUAAAGUUGUUGCAGUUAAAAAGCUCGUAGUUGAAUUUCGGGGUCAGUAGAUUGGUCGUGCCACUGGUAUGCACUGGUCUUACUGGCUCCUCCUUCCUGAUGAACCGUAAUGCCAUUAAUUUGGUGUUGCGGGGAGACUGGACUGUUACUUUGAAAAAUUAGAGUGUUUAAAGCAGGCUAACGCUUGAAUACAUUAGCAUGGAAUAAUGAAAUAGGACGUUCGAUCUUAUUUUGUUGGUUUCUAAGAUUGACGUAAUGAUUAAUAGGGAUAGUUGGGGGCAUUAGUAUUCAAUUGUCAGAGGUGAAAUUCUUGGAUUUAUUGAAGACUAACUACUGCGAAAGCAUUUGCCAAGGAUGUUUUCAUUAAUCAAGAACGAAAGUUAG
rnacentral:rRNA from 1 species